GACGAACGCUGGCGGCGUGCUUAAUACAUGCAAGUCGAGCGAUGAAGUCUCUUCGGAGAUGGAUUAGCGGCGGACGGGUGAGUAACACGUGGGUAACCUGCCUCAUAGAGGGGAAUAGCCUUUCGAAAGGAAGAUUAAUACCCCAUAAGAUUGUAGUUUCGCAUGAAACAGCAAUUAAAGGAGUAAUCCGCUAUGAGAUGGACCCGCGUCGCAUUAGCUAGUUGGUGAGGUAACGGCUCACCAAGGCGACGAUGCGUAGCCGACCUGAGAGGGUGAUCGGCCACAUUGGGACUGAGACACGGACCAGACUCCUACGGGAGGCAGCAGUGGGGAAUAUUGCACAAUGGGGGAAACCCUGAUGCAGCAACGCCGCGUGAGUGAUGACGGUCUUCGGAUUGUAAAGCUCUGUCUUCAGGGACGAUAAUGACGGUACCUGAGGAGGAAGCCACGGCUAACUACGUGCCAGCAGCCGCAGUAA
rnacentral:rRNA from 1 species